rnacentral:rRNA from 1 species
UAGGAUGAACGCUAGCUACAGGCUUAACACAUGCAAGUCGAGGGGCAGCAUUUUAGUUUGCUUGCAAACUGAAGAUGGCGACCGGCGCACGGGUGAGUAACACGUAUCCAACCUGCCGAUAACUCCGGGAUAGCCUUUCGAAAGAAAGAUUAAUACCGGAUAGCAUACGAAUAUCGCAUGAUAUUUUUAUUAAAGAAUUUCGGUUAUCGAUGGGGAUGCGUUCCAUUAGUUUGUUGGCGGGGUAACGGCCCACCAAGACUACGAUGGAUAGGGGUUCUGAGAGGAAGGUCCCCCACAUUGGAACUGAGACACGGUCCAAACUCCUACGGGAGGCAGCAGUGAGGAAUAUUGGUCAAUGGGCGCGAGCCUGAACCAGCCAAGUAGCGUGAAGGAUGAAGGCUCUAUGGGUCGUAAACUUCUUUUAUAUGGGAAUAAAGUUUUCCACGUGUGGAAUUUUGUAUGUACCAUAUGAAUAAGGAUCGGCUAACUCCGUGCCAGCAGCCGCGGUAAUACGGAGGAUCCGAGCGUUAUCCGGAUUUAUUGGGUUUAAAGGGAGCGUAGGUGGAUUGUUAAGUCAGUUGUGAAAGUUUGCGGCUCAACCGUAAAAUUGCAGUUGAAACUGGCAGUCUUGAGUACAGUAGAGGUGGGCGGAAUUCGUGGUGUAGCGGUGAAAUGCUUAGAUAUCACGAAGAACUCCGAUUGCGAAGGCAGCUCACUAGACUGUCACUGACACUGAUGCUCGAAAGUGUGGGUAUCAAACAGGAUUAGAUACCCUGGUAGUCCACACAGUAAACGAUGAAUACUCGCUGUUUGCGAUAUACAGUAAGCGGCCAAGCGAAAGCAUUAAGUAUUCCACCUGGGGAGUACGCCGGCAACGGUGAAACUCAAAGGAAUUGACGGGGGCCCGCACAAGCGGAGGAACAUGUGGUUUAAUUCGAUGAUACGCGAGGAACCUUACCCGGGCUUAAAUUGCAACAGAAUAUAUUGGAAACAGUAUAGCCGUAAGGCUGUUGUGAAGGUGCUGCAUGGUUGUCGUCAGCUCGUGCCGUGAGGUGUCGGCUUAAGUGCCAUAACGAGCGCAACCCUUAUCUUUAGUUACUAACAGGUCAUGCUGAGGACUCUAGAGAGACUGCCGUCGUAAGAUGUGAGGAAGGUGGGGAUGACGUCAAAUCAGCACGGCCCUUACGUCCGGGGCUACACACGUGUUACAAUGGGGGGUACAGAAGGCGGCUACCUGGUGACAGGAUGCUAAUCCCAAAAACCUCUCUCAGUUCGGAUCGAAGUCUGCAACCCGACUUCGUGAAGCUGGAUUCGCUAGUAAUCGCGCAUCAGCCAUGGCGCGGUGAAUACGUUCCCGGGCCUUGUACACACCGCCCGUCAAGCCAUGAAAGCCGGGGGUACCUGAAGUACGUAACCGCAAGGAGCGUCCUAGGGUAAAACUG